rnacentral:rRNA from 1 species
UACGUCGGGUGCGAGCGUUGUCCGGACUUAUUGGGCGUAAAGAGCUCGUAGGCGGUUUGUCACGUCUGCUUUGAAAACUGGAGGCUCAACCUCCAGCCUGCAGUGGGUACGGGCAGACUAGAGUGCGGUAGGGGAGAUUGGAAUUCCUGGUGUAGCGGUGGAAUGCGCAGAUAUCAGGAGGAACACCGAUGGCGAAGGCAGAUCUCUGGGCCGUAACUGACGCUGAGGAGCGAAAGCAUGGGGAGCGAACAGG